rnacentral:sRNA from 1 species
UGGAAUUAGGAAUAAGACUGCCUGACU